rnacentral:sRNA from 1 species
UGGUGCCUUGGGGAGAGCAAAGUCUUCUAUUUAUCCCCAGACAUGCUGUGCCCAUACUAUGCAAUCACGUGUCUUCCCUCUGACCUGAAGGGACCACCUUUAAGGGUGAGAAAGUAGUUUUGUUUCCCGACCCUCUUAGGCAUGC